CGCGUAGGCGGUUAUUCAAGUCUGGGGUGAAAGGUUCAGCGCUCAACGUGAACAGUGCCUUGGAUACUGGAUGACUUGAGUCUGGGAGGGGGAAGGGGAAUUCCUGGUGUAGCGGUGAAAUGCGUAGAUAUCAGGAGGAACACCGGUGGCGAAGGCGCCUUCCUGGCCUAAGACUGACGCUGAGGUGCGAAAGCGUGGGGAGCAAAC
rnacentral:rRNA from 1 species